CAAAUGGAGAGUUUGAUCCUGGCUCAGGAUGAACGCUGGCGGCGUGCCUAAUACAUGCAAGUCGAACGAAGAAGCAAGCUUGCUUGCUUCUUAGUGGCGAACGGGUGAGUAAUACAUAAAUAAUCUACCAUAAUGACUGGGAUAACCAAUGGAAACGCUGGCUAAUACCGGAUAGGUAAAACGAAGGCAUCUUUGUUUUAUUAAAGUAGGGCUACUACACAAUAUGAUGAGUUUAUGGCGCAUUAGCUAGUUGGUGAGGUAACGGCUCACCAAGGCGAUGAUGCGUAGCCGACCUGAGAGGGUGACCGGCC
rnacentral:rRNA from 1 species